UACGGAGGGUGCAAGCGUUACUCGGAAUCACUGGGCGUAAAGCGCGCGCAGGCGGCUAGAUAAGUUGGAAGUGAAAUCCUAUGGCUCAACCAUAGAACUGCUUCCAAAACUGUUUAGCUAGAGUCUGGGAGGGGAAGAUGGAAUUAGUAGUGUAGGGGUAAAAUCCGUAGAGAUUACUAGGAAUACCAAAAGCGAAGGCGAUCUUCUGGAACACUACUGACGCUGAGGCGCGAAAGCGUGGGGAGCAAACAGGAUUAGAUACCCUGGUAGUCCACGCCCUAAACGAUGAAUGUUAGUCGUCGGGAUGCAAGUCAUUUCGGUGAUGCAGUUAACACAUUAAACAUUCCGCCUGGGGAGUACGGUCGCAAGAUUAAAACUCAAAGGAAUAGACGGGGACCCGCACAAGUGGUGGAGCAUGUGGUUUAAUUCGAAGAUACGCGAAGAACCUUACCUAGCCUUGACAUAUUUUAGAACUCCGCAGAGAUGUAGAGGUGCCUUCGGGAGCUAAUAUACAGGUGCUGCACGGCUGUCGUCAGCUCGUGUCGUGAGAUGUUGGGUUAAGUCCCGCAACGAGCGCAACCCUCGUUCUUAGUUACUAACGGUUCGGCCGAGGACUCUAAGAAGACUGCCUUCGUAAGGAGGAGGAAGGUGAGGACGACGUCAAGUCAUCAUGGCCCUUACGGCUAGGGCAACACACGUGCUACAAUGGUUAGGACAAUGAGACGCAAUACCGCGAGGUGGAGCAAAUCUAUAAACCUAAUCUCAGUUCGGAUUGUAGUCUGCAACUCGACUACAUGAAGCUGGAAUCACUAGUAAUCGUAGAUCAGCUAUGCU
rnacentral:rRNA from 1 species